rnacentral:rRNA from 1 species
AACGAACGCUGGCGGCAGGCUUAACACAUGCAAGUCGAGCGCCCCGCAAGGGGAGCGGCAGACGGGUGAGUAACGCGUGGGAAUCUACCCAUCUCUACGGAAUAACGCAUGGAAACGUGUGCUAAUACCGUAUACGUCCUUCGGGAGAAAGAUUUAUCGGAGAUGGAUGAGCCCGCGUUGGAUUAGCUAGUUGGUGGGGUAAAGGCCUACCAAGGCGACGAUCCAUAGCUGGUCUGAGAGGAUGAUCAGCCACACUGGGACUGAGACACGGCCCAGGCUCCUACGGGAGGCAGCGGUGGGGAAUAUUGGACAAUGGGCGCAAGCCUGAUCCAGCCAUGCCGCGUGAGUGAUGAAGGCCCUAGGGUUGUAAAGCUCUUUCACCGGUGAAGAUAAUGACGGUAACCGGAGAAGAAGCCCCGGCUAACUUCGUGCCAGCAGCCGCGGUAACAC